rnacentral:rRNA from 1 species
UACAGAGGGUGCAAGCGUUAAUCGGAAUUACUGGGCGUAAAGCGCGCGUAGGUGGUUUGUUAAGUUGGAUGUGAAAUCCCCGGGCUCAACCUGGGAACUGCAUCCAAAACUGGCAAGCUAGAGUAUGGUAGAGGGUGGUGGAAUUUCCUGUGGUAGCGGUGAAAUGCGUAGAUAUAGGAAGGAACACCAGUGGCGAAGGCGACCACCUGGACUGAUACUGACACUGAGGUGCGAAAGCGUGGGGAGCAAACAGG